rnacentral:tRNA from 2 species
GCCCUGCUGGCGUAGUGGUAGCGCGUCUCACUUGUACCAACAAGGUCAAUGAGAAGGUCACUAGUUCAAUCCUGGUGUGGGGCA